UGCGGUGGCGUGGUUUUUCUGUUUAUACAAGUUAAUUUUUAAUCAAUUCUUGUAUAUUUUACACAAAAAAAUUAAUUAAAAAAGCUAAAAAGUUAAAUCAAGUGAGCUUGAUGGCUUCGGUUAAAGAUAUUAAAUGUUUGCAGAAUUUUUUAGAACUUUCUAUGGCUGAACUUCAAUUUUUCCUUUCCCGGCGUGGGCUUCCAACAUCUGGAUCACAUGGAACGUUGGCUGUAAGAGCUCUGAUUGCUCAUGAGCAAAAAGUAGAAGUAAAAGCCACUGCUGAACAUACAAUUUGCUUCUGCGUAACAUGCGAAAAGACAUUUGAUUCAGACGAAGAGCUGACUUGGAGUGUUUGGAAGGAAAUGGAAAAGGAUGCAGCCUGAAAGGAAAGCUGAAAUAUUGAGGUAUCAGAAAAUAUCUAUAAAAAUAAUUUGAUGGCUCAAAAGGUUUGACUCACUGAUGGUAUGACAAUACUGGGAUCUAUUAAAGAUUAAAAUUGAAGAGGCGUCCAGGGCCUCAAUCUUGACAGUCCCACCAGUGAAUCAGAACUAGAGAUCAAGACUAUCACUGUAUAACAUAUGCACAUUUUACCAGGAAUUCCAUGAAAAAAACAACACACAUGAAUCUAUAUUGGAGAAUUUGCGCAUCCAAUUUUUUAAUUUUUAGUAUUCACUUAUUGAAUGGUUUAAAAGUGUUAAAUAUAUUAACACAUUGUUUUGUCGGUAGAAGUAACCUAUAGCAAAUAUAUACUGCAGGAAUACAUGACAAAGGGAGGGCUAUGUCGUACGAUGUUGUAUUCACUGCAAUCAUCUACUAUUUCGUUUGCCGUGUCAAUCCGCCCCUCAACAUGGCCGCAGAUUAUCUUUUCACAGCAGGUUAUAUUUUCUCGUAACGAUUGUGUUCCUUACUAAAAGACAUUCUUUUUUAAACUCUAAUUCCAUUUCAAUCUUUUGCUCCAUACAAUUCUUUUUUUCGUGGGCAAGAUGCAUGUGCAUUGAUGUUUUAAAACAGAUGAUCAUUCCAAUUUAUUUUAAAAAAAUUUAUAAUUUGUUAGGAUUUGUGCAUUUAAUGUUUACAAAAUCAAGAUUUUUAAUUUUAAAAAUGUUACCACAAGAUUUUUAGUUCCGUAAAUUCUCAGUGAUCUGCUGUUAAAGACCAAAAAAUAACUUUUUGAGGAAAAUGAUGAUAAUAGGUAUAAUUUACAUAUAAAAAUUGAUUCUUUCCAGUAUACAAUUUCUGGCAACAAUAACUUACGCUGUUGAUUGUCAUAAUACUUAUUACAGCCAUUCAUUGGAAAGCCAUGCUAUUAAUGGUACACAUUAACUGUGGAAAUUUCCUAUUAAAAAGUUUAAAUUGGUGUUGUUGUUUUUUUCAAUUAUCUGCUGAAUAAUAAUUUUAUAAAAAGAUUAAAAAAUAAUUUUUUGAGGAAAACGUUAGUUUUUAAAAUCUGAUGUGGUGGAAAAGUAGGCCAGGGUUGAUUUUUUAUAUAAAGAGAAUAUUUUUUUAAAUAUAACAUGAAAUGCAGCUAAUUCCAUACUGAAUACAUGUUCUGAAAGAGCUGGCACAUUUAUAUUUAUUUUUGAAAAAAAGAGACAGUGUACGUCAUCUAUUCAAAGAUAUCUGAGUUAAGCAUAUAAUUAUAUUUCUGUAGCCUGAACUAAUUUUGUUAAUUAUUUUGAGUAAGCUUAUUUUUUAAAGAAAGACAAAUAGUGCUGUGUGUUCACUUUAGUAGUAGGAAUACUUUUUGCCACUUGAAAUACAAUUGAUCCGAAGAUAUUUUUUGUCUUGUAUGAAAGAAAUUUGGACAAUACUUUAAGGCAAGAACUUCUAUUGUUCUUUGCUCACGUGAUCAUUAUUGGGAAAUCUUUUCUUCUUUAAUGUUAGAUGUGGCCAUGCUGGCUUUAUGCAUAUUGUUUGAUUUUAAUUCGGGUUGCACUGAAAAAUUAUUAUAUAAAAAACUCAAUUUUAAUACCUCAAAGAAAACUUAGUUAAAGGAGCACUCCAGUGAAAAAAAAAUAUUUAAAAAAUAGAAUCGGAUAAUUCUCUUCAUGAAAAAGACUUUACAAAGCUACAGCCACACGACUUCGAACCUCUUCUGUCUCACAAGGGAGAAAUUAAUAAUGAUGCAAAGUGAUGAGGUGUCUUUUACUGGCUCAAGCAACGUUCUUAGCAAAAUAUUUUUUUUUUUUAAGAAAUAAAUAUACUUAAUCGCUUUUUUUAACAUUCUUUUCGUCAAAAAACUUUAUCAUUUGCUUCAUUAAAAAAUCUUUCAUACUUUACAAGCCAAUUUAUUUUUUUUACAGUUCAGCAAUAUUUUUCCUCUGCACGCGCUUUUUUUGCGCACAAAUGUAAACAAAUUUUAUGUAACGUUGAAAUUUUCUCCGUGAUGGAGGACCAUUGAAAUGCGUGAUAUAAAAUCAAAUAAUGUUCAGGUCUAGAUAAGUUGGUAAAACGGGGUAUUAUUAUUGUAUAAAAAAAAAUCAAUCUUAUGAUUAUGGUAGGUCAUAAAUGUGUUGCAGAAGCUACUGACUUACAAGUGGUUGUUUUGACAAAGCUGUUUUAGAAACUGCAUUAUCAGCAUUACAUGCAGCCGUUAUAAAGUUACAAAGAUUGAAGAAAAUGGGUACAUUUACCCCCUGAAAAUACUUGGCAUGUCCUUCCAUCAAAAAAGCUUCUUUUUUGAAAAACAAAGAAUAGAAACUUGAGUGCUACAAAAGAUACAUGUGUAACUAGAAAGCUUUUUGUCAGUGUUUGUAUUGGAAAUUCGUAUAAUGUUCUCUUAUUUAAUAUAAAAAUGUACAAAACGCUAUUUGGUUGAGUUCUGUGGAUAUAAGUACAAAUAUUGAGAUGAGAAGAAAUGAGAAACUUUAAUCGCGUUCACUAGCUAAAAUGGCAUUUUUACAAAGUGGCAGAGUAUCUUAAUAUGGAAGUUUAUUUCCUGCAGAUAUCUUUUAAAAGAACUAUCUGUGAAGUGCACCAACCAAAUAUAAAAACUUUGAUAGCUUGGUAGAUCACCUGCACGACGUAUUUUGUUUAGCCGUUUUUGAGUUCUUUCUUUUUCACAGACGGGAUUCUGUGAAAACUUACUUCUUUACACUUCUCUGAUCGAUCGGUACAUAGAAACACAGAGCAACUAACCAUUUUUUAAAGAUUUAAACGUAAAUUACAUACAAAAAGCGAUUUAAUGUAAGCUGUAUUUAUAGGUCUUAACAUGCGCUUGCUUAAACUUUCUGCACGAUGUGAUGUCAUUAUUUAUAAUCGGGUCCAGUCCGAAAUGAAAUCGCGCCUGUCUGUUUUUUAUGAGAAAAAAAUUGAAUAUGCGAAGGCUUGUACAACAAUUUUAAAUAAGAAAAACAAGUAAAGUAAGUUUUUUUUGAUUUCUUAUGCUUUUCUGAGUACGUAUAAAACAAACAAAAAAAAGAAAAGUGAUUUUUACUGGAGUUCCCCUUUAACUAGGCUAGACAUGUCUGAAAUCUGUACAAUCCUUGUUAAACUGAGACAGUGUAGAGAUACUGCUAACUUGGUACCAUAAUUAUUCAAAUAAGUAGUCAAAUUUUUAUUCAGUAUAUUGACUUUCAGGAGGGACAUGUUAUAUGUACAGGUAAUAUGGCCAGUUGAAAUACCCCUAAGUUGAAUUAUAUCCCUCUCUUCAGUCAGCUAAUUUCCUACCUCAAGGCUUUAUUGCGACUUAUGCUGAAAAAUUGAAUAAGCAAUUUCUGAAACUUUUACACCCUGUUUUAAUUUAUAACAAUCGUGGAGUGGUGGAGUUAGUUUUACAGUGUAAUGAUUUUAAAAACUAGAUAAAUUUUUGUUGUUUUAAUUUAAUGAUGAUGCGCGAUGUUUUUUGUUCACAACUCUUCUCGGGAUUUUUCUGUUCUAAUUUAUACUUUGCUUUUUAUGUUAAUCAAUUUGGUGGUAAUUUUUGCUUCUUUACUGUUUUUUUUGUUUUUUUUUUGUAUUUCUAAUGCAGGUAAAACCAAAAAAAACUUUGAUGAAAAUGAUUCUUGGAAGAGUGGGAUAAGGAAGUUUUCUGGUAACAAAAUUAGUUUUGUGUAAAUACUGAUACUAUGUGUGACCUUUUGUAUUUCUGUGUUAUGUUAUUUAAAAAAUAUUUCCAUUGUUGUAAAACCAUGAAAGUUAUUGGUUCGAAUCCAAUCCAUCUUUAAAAGGUGGUAGUUCAAAUGGAAGAACAACAUGGUGUGUAAUUAGUUUCCUACUGCAACAAACAAUAAUGCAAAUCAAUUCAAAAAAUUUUACAAACAAAUGUUUCAAAAAAAGAGGUAACUAUAAGAAAAGAAAUGAAAGAAGGAAAUUUUUUAAUUUACUCGGGAUAUACGUGCAGUUAUUCAGGUUUUGCUGAGCUAUAACUACAAUCAUGUUCAUAAAUUAUUGAAAAAACGGCUUUUGAGGCUUUUUUCAGAGUUUCCCCCCUCUCCCCCUACAGUCAGUGUUGAUUUUGUGUUGAUUUGUGCCCCAAAAUACUGCCGGCGACUCUGGAAAAGACCUCCAACCAACACUGAAGAGUGGGGGGAGGGGGAAAGUGGUUUUUCCAAAACUAUUAUGAACAUGAUUGUCUCUAUAAUGUGAGACUUAGUUUUUUUAAGUGGCUUUUUUUUUUACAAAAGCUUUUGUGUGCGUUUGUGUUGGCUGAAUUAAGGACAAGUACUACUUUGUCAUUCCAUAUACCGUGCAUGCAGAGCUGGUUGGUUUUCUUGUUUCAUAAACUAGGUUCCAGGCCUCCUAAUGUCUGUUUGUUUCUUAUUGUUUGUCGUAUGUGGCAAGAGCUUUUAUAUGCUUAUAUAUUGUAUAUACAUGACUAAAAUUGUUCUUUGUAUAACAUAGACACUUUGUAGUAUAAAAGAAAUGGAAAACACACACGUUCCACACACGUUCCGCACACGUUCCACUCAAGUUCCAUAGCCAAGUGUACAAGAGGAGACUGCAGUAGCACACGUUCCACACGUUCCGUCAAUUUUUUAUAAAAAUUAAAAUUUACUUCAAUUUCAUUGAAUUUGACGGUACGUGUGGAACGUGUUCAAUUUAGGUGCAACCGAUGGUGGAGCACCUUGGAACGGGUGUGGAACGUGUACGGAACGUGUGAAACGUGUCAUCAAAGCAAAAUUUUGGCUCUAAACAAGGGCAACCCGUUUUCAAUUUUUUUAUGUCAUUUACAGACAAUCAUGUUCAUAAAUUAUUGGAAAAACGGCUUUUGAGGCUUUUUUCAGAGUUUCCCCCCUCCCCCAACAGUCAGUGUUGAUUUUGUGUUGAUUUGUGCCCCAAAAUACUGCCGGCGACUCUGGAAAAGACCUCCAACCAACACUGAAGAGUGGGGGGAGGGGGAAAGUGGUUUUUCCAAAACUAUUAUGAACAUGAUUGUAGUUGCCAUGUGAAAAUCAAAUCCAAUAAGUAAAAUUUAGUUAAAAAAAUAAUUUUUUGAGGAAACUAAUUUAUCACACCGCAGUUUGUAACAUGUAAUUGGUAAUAAUGUAAUAAUGUAAUUGGUUCAAGAAGCUUGAAAGGUGGAUAUAUUUUGGAUAAGGUAGAAGAUUGGAUUAAUGAAUUAAAGAUGCUGAGUAAAAUUGCUAAAACAGAGUCGCAAGGGACAUAAAGUUGUUUUAUCAGUGGCUGGCUACAAGCAUAAAUUAACAUACUGUAUGCAAACAUACCACACAUAAUAUAAUUAUUGGAAGAAGUACUCGUAGUUAUUAAUUCGAAUUAAUACCAGCACUGACGGGAGGUAUUAAAGUAAACAAUAACGAGAGACAACUGCUGUCACUCCCGGUUAAACUUGGUCGUCUUACGAAUAUUCUAAAACUUAUCACAAAUAACUGAAUAUCUUGGUAAACAAAUAAAAAAACAGACUCGACAAUAUGAAGAAGAUCCAGAACUGAAACAACAGAAAAAACAAUCAAACAAAAUAAAAAUUGCUAAGAUUAGUGUCAUUCUUGAUCAUGUCAGAAGUGAAAUGUGUAAGCAGGAAAUCAGACUGAACGAUAUCAACCAGGAAGCAGUGUAUCUAGUUGACUGACUACCUUCAAGGAACGAGAGAUACACAAUUAACAAGCUAUGCUUCUGGGCUCAGAUUCGAAUUUCAAGUUCACAAUUGAUCAUGCUUUGUCAUGCAAAUAAUGUGGCUUCCUUUCGCUUAGACAAUGAAAUCCGUAAUGUCACGGGGAUGUAACUAAAAGAGGUUUGUCAUGAUGUUACAUUGAACCGUGUCUACAACAGUUACCUGGUGAGCCAUUGAGCCAGUGGACAGCGAAUGUUUCUCAGGAAUCGAGAGUUAUGUAUGCACAAGAGGCUUUUGGAACACUGGUCAAAUGGCAUUUUUAGAUGCGAAGGUGUGCUACCAAAAGCAUAUGAUGUAAAUAAAAUGGAAAAAAAGAAAAAUUACAAUAAACUUAUUUUGCAAGUAGAGCAUGAAACUUUACCGCCACUAGCGAUAUCCGUGUGUGGCGGAAUGGGUCGCGUGUGUCGAAAGUUCUAUACUCGGCUUUCUGAAAUGAUUUCUGAAAAGCGUAAACAACAUUUUUUAAAACUUUCAGCAUGGAUAUGACGUAACAUUUGUUUUGCGCUUAUCAAGUCUAUAUGCAUAUGUGUUCGAUGAAGUCGAUCAGUCUUUUCAUCUAACCUUGUCACAUCUCUGUCAGUGGAUCCUAAAGUAGUUCUGCUACCUUUAUAUAUCAUACUUAUGUCGACAUCAACUGAAUAGCAUUUUUCUUUUAAUAAAGCGGCGAUAUUUCGGUAUAGAAAAAUUAUAACAAAUUAUUUUAUUGAAAUGUAUGUACAGUUGACUCUCUCUAAUCCGAAUCUCAAGGGGGAUAAUUCUCUUUCAGAUUACAGAGAGUCGGAUAGUAGAAAGUAGAUUAUGAGAGUUUCUUAAGGAAAAUUGACGCUGAUUUUUAAUUUGUUCGGAUUAUAGUUAAAAAUUCGGAUAAUAGAGAUUCGGAUCGGAGAGAGUCAACUGUAUAUACGUUUUAAUUAAAUAUAAUGUUCAAAAAAGGACCAUAAUUUUUUUGUAACAUACUGUGUGCUUCUAUGCUACCUUCGUGUAGUAUGGAUGGAGCAUGAUGACGGGUCUAUUCAGAGCAAUACGCUAACUAUCUUGUGAACUGCCUUAGUCUAUUAGAAUUACUAAAACCUUUUAGAAAUAACUCAACAAAUUUUACUGUUUUGCAAAAAAAAAAAUGCUAGAGUACUAUUUCUUUUUAGGAGUCAAAAUAUACCCAAUAUUAGCUAAAUCAAAUUCUAUUCAUACUAUUAUUACCUAAUAGCUAUUUUCAACCGGUUAUUAUGAGAAAGUCGUAGCGUUCAAUGGCUAGAGAGCCUUAAGAACGGGCCUAGGACAGCACAAUAUAACUUAACUUCGUAGCAACCAUAACAGUCAUAACUCAAUUUUAUUUAGCUAGUUAGACUAUAUUAAUAACUAUGUCCCUCCAAUAGUUUUUCUAACAGCUACGAACAAAAAAAGUCCAUAUACAUUUUUAUCAUUUUUGUCAUAAGGUUUUAGUUUUAAAAAUAUUGAAAGUUCAAAAUCACAUUAAACUGCUUCCUAUGAACAGCAAAAAAAACAUAUGAUACACACAAGUAUUUUUCUGAAAUAUCGUUUUUAUUUGUGUAUGGAUAGUUAUUCAACUCUACUGCUUGUUUCAAUAUCUCUCUUUUGAUAGAUGUAUGGAUAGGUGUCCCACAUUCCUUCAUUUUUGCUGCGUCGAAUAAAGUAUUCCGUGAAUUGAGCUGUUAGAACAUCUAAGGUUGGCGUGCUAAAUAUUUUAAUUCGCGCGAAGGGUAAGAUCAAAAAAUGCGUUUUUCAAAUGAUGCAUGUAUAUUGAUAAAAUCUCUAUUUUUAUAAGGUAUGGAUGGAUCUCUCAUUUGAUUGGUUGUUUACUGAGUAGAACUAAUUUUGUAUACACA